rnacentral:rRNA from 1 species
CCUACGGGGGGCUGCAGUGAGGAAUAUUGGUCAAUGGACGAGAGUCUGAACCAGCCAAGUAGCGUGAAGGAUGACUGCCCUAAGGGUUGUAAACUUCUUUUAUAAAGGAAUAAAACCAGGCACGUGUGCCUAUUUGCAUGUACUUUAUGAAUAAGGAUCGGCUAACUCCGUGCCAGCAGCCGCGGUAAUACGGAGGAUCCGAGCGUUAUCCGGAUUUGUUGGGUUUAAAGGGAGCGUAGAUGGGUUGUUAAGUCAGUUGUGAAAUUUUCGGGCUCAACCGUAAAAGUGCAAUUGAUACUGGCAGUCUUGAGUCCAGUAGAGGUAGGUGGAAUUCGAGGUGUAGCGGUGAAAUGCUUAGAUAUCACGAAGAACCCCGAUUGCGAAGGCAGCUUACUAGACUGUGACUGACAUUGAUGCUCGAAAGUGUGGGUAUCAAACAGGAUUAGAUACCCUGGUAGUC